ACUCAAAUGAAUUGACGGGGGCUCGCACAAGCGGUGGAGCAUGUGGUUUAAUUCGACGACAAGCGGGGAACCUCACCCAGGCUUGACAUCUAGGGAAAGCCCAUGAAAGUGGGCCGUGCCGCAAGGAACCCUAAGACAGGUGUUGCACGGUCGUCGUCAGCUCGUGUCGUGAGAUGUACGGUUAAGUCCGUAAACGAGCGAAACCCUUAUCCAGUGUUAUAUUUCUCACUGGAGACUGCCGGCUUUAAGCCGGAGGAAGGUAGGGAUGACGUCAGAUCAGCGUGGCCCUUACGCCUGGGGCAACACACGUGCUACAAUGCCAUAGACAAUGAGUCGCCAAGCUGCAAAGCGGAGCUAAUCUCAUCAAAAUAUGGCCCAGUUCGGAUUGGAGUCUGCAACUCGACUCCAUGAAGCCGGAAUCGCUAGUAAUCGUGUAUCAGAACGUCACGGUGAAUACGUUCUCGAGCCUUGUACACACCGCCCGU
rnacentral:rRNA from 1 species